AGGGGAAGCCAGUGAUGAGUUUUCUCCACAAUGUCUGAACCUGUCCGAUGUCUCCUGACGAGCCUUUGUUGGCCUGAGGUUUCCCUCGCC